GCUGUGCAAAGAAAUUGGGGCCAAACGUUUUUUUGCCAUGUUCUGAAAAGGUGAAGAAAAUGUGAGCCAGAGAGACUCCAUCCAAUGUUAGAUAAAAGGAACACGCAAGGAGCAUUGGAAAACAUCAACCUUUAAGGAGUAGGUCAGAAAAAAAGAACCAGCCAAGACAUUUGGAAGUGUGGUGUGUGAGUGUGGAUUGGCCAGCCUGUGCCUGGGGACCCCAUUGUCCCCCUAUUCUUUCCCUUUACCUCUCCAUCAGUAGCAGUGGCUGGAGUAGAGGAAUUGUGAAAUGAUCUGGACAUGCCUGAAAUGGGAAAACAGGGAAUGCUUUAACUGGAUCAUUAUCCUGGAAGCACUUUGACAUGAGAUAUACCUUUUUCCCAAGUCCUAAACUCUUGUGGAGCAGCACAAACCAACAUUGAGGCUUUUCUCCCUUUCCCUCAGGUAGACAUGAUCGCCAAGGCAGCUGAUUGUCCCAAGGAAUAAGUAUGAGCAAUGAGCACAGAGGGAAAAUCAUGAAACAUCUGAGGACCAUGAGAACUGCUAAAACAAUACGUAGAACUAGCUAUACCAGAGAAAGUCAAGUGAAUGGAUCAGACAAUAAGAAUUGAAAAUAAGCUUAAUAGAGCUUCAGAGAAAGAAGGGAGAAUGUUGGAAACACAAAGCACAAACAAGCAUUUGUGAAUUGGAUGUUGACAAAUAUUAAUGAAAUAACUCAAUGGAUGGGUUGAAUAUAGCUGGACAGUUCACUCAUGAACCGGAAGAUUAGAGCAAGGAAGGAACUAAGAAAUGGAAAGCAUGAAAGGAGAGUUAAGAAAUGUGGAAGGUAGAAGCAUAAAUAUUUUUCUAAUGGAAAUUCCAGAAGGGGAAAAAAAGAACAUGUGAAAGAAUUAUUGCUGAGAAUUUCCCAGAAUUGAAGACAUACUUUAGAAUGAAAAAGGCCAACUCUAACUUUGGGAUUUCUAGCUUCAGAGAAAUGAAAAUUUAGAAUGACCAAGGGGAGUGCACAGGAUUUUUUGGGCAGUGAAACUAUUCUGCAUGAUACUAUAAUGGUGGAUGCAUGCUAUUACACAUUUGUCAAAACCCAUUGAAUGUACAUCACUGAGAAUGAAGCCUAAUGUAUGCACUUUGGAUGAUUAUGAUGUGUCAAUGUAGGUUCAUCAGUUCUAACAAGUAGAACAUGCUGGUGCAGGAUGUUGAUAGGGAGGCUGUGCAUAUAUGGGGGAGGGGAUGAAAGGAACUGUGUACUUUCUGCUCGUUUUUGCUGUGCACCUAAAAUUGUUCUGAAAAAAAUCAAGUCUAUUAAGAAAACAAAGACAGUUUUUUAAAGCAUAAGAGCAUACUUGUUAUAAAAAUACAUGUAAUGCAGUGUAAUUUUAGAAUUCAAGGUCACAUAUUUCUGUAACACUUUUAUUCUUUCAUGCCUACAACUUUCAUGGAAUGGUCCAGUCAAAUAGGUUCCACAUAAUAGGAACCUUCAGUAAUACACCACUCACAUGUAGCAGAAGGACUUUAAAACAGUAUAUUCCCAACUCUUCUAUUCAUUGUGCCAAUGUUGCCAUAUAUUUCACUUUUACAAAUGCUGUAAACAUACAAUACUUGUGCUAUUUUUGCUUUCGAUAGUUGCCUUUUACAGCAGUUAAAAAAAAAAAAAAAGCCAGUUGCAGUGACUCACGCCUGUAAUUCCAACACUUUGUGAGGCUGAGGCAGGAGAAUUGCUUGAGCUCAGGAGUUCAAGACCAGACUGGGAAACAUAGUGAGACCUUGUCUCUACAAAAAAUAAAAUGCCAGGCAUGGUGGCACUCAUCUAUAGUCCCAAUACUCGAGAGCUGAGGUGGGAGGAUUGAGCCUGUGAGAUAGACUAGGCUGCAGUGAGCCAAGAUCAUACCACUGCACUCCAGCCUGAGCAACAGAGUUGAGUGCUCUGCCAGUCCACACCAGCCUUCGUGAAUUCCGCAAUUCUUCUAGCUAAACAUAUACCAGUAUCUGGUUGUGUCUGUCCCAAGUAAGCUAGUGCCCUUCUCUUCCUGCAGGCAUCUGUUGCUUCUUAGAUUUUGGACCAGUUUUUUGUCCUGGGAACUCAACUCUUCGAUAAAUUCAAAAAUACUCUGUAAUUUGAAGGAAGUUUACCUUUUUUUUCAUUGUAAGGGUGGAAGAAAUGUCUCUUCUGGAUGUUUAUAUCCAAAACAAGCUGGAAAUCAGCCCUGGCUAACUUUUUUUUUUUUUUUGAGACGGAAUCUCACCCUGUCGCCCAGGCUGGAGUGCAGUGGCACAGUCUCGACUCACUGCAACCUCUACCUCCCAGGUUUAAGCGAUUCUCCCACCUCAGCCUCCCGGGUAGCUGGGACUACAGGCGUGCGCCACCACGCCCAGCUAUUCUUUUGUAUUUUUAGUAGAGAUGGGUUUUCACCAGGAUGGUCUCAAUCUCUUGACCUUGUGAUCUGCCUGCAUUGGCCUCCCAAAAUGCUGGGAUUACAGGCUUGAGCCACCAUGCCCAGCCAGAGCAUCUAAUAUUUACUGAGUACUGAACAUUUACUAAAUACUUGACAUAAUGUUUUUUAAAUCCCCCAAAAGUCAUAUUCUUACAUCAUAAAUAAGGAAAAUUUCAGAUUGAAAGGAUUCAAAGAGGGUUAAACGAGAUCACAAAAAAAAGCCACAGCUGGGUACAUUACUGUGAAAUUAAACAUCAUCAGAGAGAAACAAUAGAUAUAGAUCUUUUCAGCUUAUCUAUUUCUUACUAAAAAAGAGUAAGUUUUGUAGUUUAUGCCUUUCAGAGAAUUUCUCUAUUUUGUCUCCAUUGUCAAAUUUAUUGUCAUAAAAUUGUUCAUAAUUUUUUUUUUGAGAUGGAGUCUGGCUCCGUCGCCCAGGCUGGAGUGCAGUGGCAUGAUCUCAGCUUGCUACACAACCUCCACCUCCCAGGUUCAAGGAAUUCUUGUGCCUCAGCCUCCGGAGUAGCUGGGAUUACAGGCGCCUGCCACCACACCUGGCUAAUUUUUGUAUUUUUAGUAGAGACAGAGUUUCAC
rnacentral:lncRNA from 10 species